rnacentral:lncRNA from 1 species
CAAAAACAAAACCGUGAGGGCGUGGCCCAAAGCGGACAAUAUCGUGCUACAGCGGAGCUGGUUUGGGAUGUGACAAAUAACAUUAGUAAAAUUCUUUGAUUAAACUUGACAUGGAUACAUUCUCAAAUUAACAAAAAAAAAAAUGUACCCAUAUAAAUUUAAAAUAUGGAUUACAAAAAAAUUGAAUGGAUUUUGUAUAGAAAACAGGUACAUUUUAAUUUUUUUUUUUAAAAAGGUUCAUUUUACAUACAACAAAUUGGUAUAUUUAAGAAUGGGUACAUCUAAUAUUAAAAAUUUGAAAUAUUAUAUGAACGGGUACAUUUAAGAUUAAAAAAAUUGAAAAAUAUUUUUAUAAAAAAUUAACAACUAUAAACUUAUUUUAAUUCAAUUUAAUUUUUUUAUUUUGGAAAGUUUUGAAUUGAAAAUUAAUUAGGAGUUUAAUAAAAGUGUGAGCAUUAAAGCCCUAAACCAAUUAGUAAUUUUUAUCUUUAAAAUUAUGUAACUAGCUCAUUAAUACAUUAAUGAUAGGGACUUGGAUCAAAAUUUGAAAACUAAUAAGGUCUCAGUCAAUGAACAUUAGUAAAUAUAGGGAUCAAAUACUAAUUUUUCCUUUAUUUACUUUGUGUUAAAGUAUGCAUGCAGAAGCUCUAAGUUGGAGUGUGUUGCGAGGUAUGAAUGUUGAAGCUCUGAGUUAGAGUAUGUCGUUAGGUUGGAUUAGACCAACUAUUCCAUGGUUAGGAAAGUAAAAAAGUUAGACAAGGUUUGUCUAAACUGCCUCUUCAUUAAGUAUGUGUCAUAUGGUUUGUAUUACAACAAGGUGAACAUGGUUGAAGGUCAAAACAUUUGUGAUAUGUAUGUUCACUCGUAAUAGUAUUUCAAGUGAUCAGCAUUCUAUGAGGGUUGUGCCAUUGGAAUCCUGGAGCUUGCAGGUGCCAUUGGAAUCCUGGAGCUUGCAGGUGCCAUUGGAAUCCUGGAGCUUGCAGGUGCCAUUGGAAUCCUGGAGCUCGACUGGUGCCAAUGAUCACAUAUGGCCUGUCCCAAUUUGGACCAAGUGUGCCCUCACUUGGGACUUUGUCACAUAAGAGCCUCUUAUCUUCAAUACCCAGUCCCUCACUUUAAAGGAAUGAGGUUUGGCCCUUGAGUCAGUGUCAAUAAAUGAACAUUUACAUGGCCUGAUGUAUAGUAGUUGUAGACCAGUGUCAAUACAUGAACAUUUAUAUAGCUUGAACAUUUACAGGGUCAAUUCUCGCUGUUUCAAAGUGAGGAAAUAGUCAUAGUCAGUGUAUACAAUCGCAUAGCUUAUGCAUACAUGCAUGUACUUACAUUUGGCUAUGAACAUUUACAUUCAAGGUGACUAGUGUCAAUACAUGUCAAAAUCAUAUUGACGUGCCCGUUGAAUUGGAUAUAUCCAGAUUGGGGACAUUUUGUCUAACUCUCGAUCUAAUGCAUGGUUGGUAGGAUAGGAGACUAAGGACGGAUCCAUACGGUAACGUGCUGAAUGACGUGUUAAAAUGAGACGGUUAAUUGGAACUUAGAUUCUCCAGAUUUGAGGCGAUUUUUAAUUUAGAAGUUUUAUUUUUUUCACAUUGAAUCCUGAUGUUUACUAAUGGUAUCAAGGUAUACAUGUUGUUUCUUUAAAAAUUUAGUCUUUUAUUAAAUUGAUCAUUUUUUUUGUUUGUCAAUAUGGUGAAACGUGGCUUACACAUUAGGCCAUAUAAAGAUCUCAUGCUCAUAUUGUCAUCAAUUUAAUGAAAGACUAAACAAUCAAAUCGGAUUCAAAGUGAUACAAUUUCAAUAUCUUAGAGUGCAAAUAAGAAUAUUAGAAUUGCAUAACCCAUUUUAAAAAUCACCACAAUUUCAAAGAUUGAAAUUGACACGCCGGACCCCAAUAUCCAAAACACUAGGGUAGACACGUGCUAACCGACACCCGAAGGUGACGAAGCCAUACUUACAUGCAUGAGAACAAUGAAGAACGAACGAACAUAGAUAAAACUCAUAAAUUUAAUUCUAAUGAAUAUGCAAUUGUGGAACAUGUUCAGAGCAUACCAUUAAACCAGAACAUUGAAAGAUGAAUAUUAUAAAGAAUGUACGAACAAAGAAAUGGGUCCUACAUCAAGAGGACUCGAAGAUCCGCUGUGAGAGUGCCUUGAAGCUGGGAUUGUACACCUCAAUUCUAAGUCCUGAGGGGGGUGUAAAACAAAAUAUGAGUGGACCAAGUUUAUAUAUAGGUAAUACUAAAACAAUUAUUCAUCAACGUACUAAGCCCCCCAAAGUUUAUGAAAACUCAAUAGCAUAAUAUGUAAUAGGUUUUCUGAAAACCCUAGCAUGCCAUAAAACUUCAUAAAGCAUAUAUCAUAUAUAGUGUGCUUAGUAGUGGUAUCAAAAUCGCCCGAAGGAAGUAUCAUUCACCCUUAGGCCCUACGUCACUCGACUGAAGCCAUAUAAUGAUAUCAUUUGCCUGUAGGCAGGACUAAAUCUUCAUUCGCCCGUAGGCAGAUCGUAUGAGUAACCACUAAAUAAGCAUAUAAAAACAUGAACAUAAUAUUUCCAAAAUAUAUGUAUAUAUAUCAACAGAGCUCAAUAGCUCAAACAUCAUAUCUUAAAUCAUAUUCAUGAAUAUCUCAAUAAGCAUAAAUCCAGUGAAGCAUGAUAUUUCGUAAAGCGUAAAGCCAAUUUGCUCAUAAAACGUAGCCAUUAAAUCAUGUUUUUCAUGUAUGCAUUUCUAAUAGUAAAAUCAUGCAUUUUGGAAGGGGGCCACUCACCUUACUUUGUUGCUGAAAAGCCGUGCAAACAAGAGAAGACAGAAACGCCACAAACAAACGCACCUAAGCAUAUAAAGGGACCAAUUAAUAAAACUAUACUAUAACGAUUCAAUUUGGGAAAACGGA